rnacentral:rRNA from 1 species
GAUGAACGCUGGCGGCGUGCCUAAUACAUGCAAGUCGAGCGAACAGACGAGGAGCUUGCUCCUCUGACGUUAGCGGCGGACGGGUGAGUAACACGUGGAUAACCUACCUAUAAGACUGGGAUAACUUCGGGAAACCGGAGCUAAUACCGGAUAAUAUAUUGAACCGCAUGGUUCAAUAGUGAAAGACGGUUUUGCUGUCACUUAUAGAUGGAUCCGCGCCGCAUUAGCUAGUUGGUAAGGUAACGGCUUACCAAGGCAACGAUGCGUAGCCGACCGGAGAGGGUGAUCGGCCACACUGGAACUGAGACACGGUCCAGACUCCGACGGGAGGCAGCAGUAGGGAAUCUUCCGAAAUGGGCGAAAGCCUGACGGAGCAACGCCGCGUGAGUGAUGAAGGUCUUCGGAUCGUAAAACUCUGUUAUUAGGGAAGAACAAAUGUGUAAGUAACGAUGCACGUCUUGACGGUACCGAAGCAGAAAGCCACGGCUAACUACGU